UACGUAGGGUGCAAGCGUUGUCCGGAAUUAUUGGGCGUAAAGAGCUCGUAGGUGGCCUGUCACGUCGGCUGUGAAAACCCGGGGCUCAACCCCGGGCCUGCAGUCGAUACGGGCAGGCUAGAGUUCGGCAGGGGAGACUGGAAUUCCUGGUGUAGCGGUGAAAUGCGCAGAUAUCAGGAGGAACACCGGUGGCGAAGGCGGGUCUCUGGGCCGAUACUGACGCUGAGGAGCGAAAGCGUGGGGAGCGAACAGG
rnacentral:rRNA from 1 species